rnacentral:piRNA from 1 species
UGGGCUUUAAGUUUGCAGAUCAUC